ACUAACGAUAAGAGGCUGUCUCCACAGCUAAAGUGUGUCUCACGCAUUGUUGGAAAACCAACACACGUCUAGAAGAUACCGUCAGCGGGCGGGAGGAGUGAUGCAAAGGCAAAAGUCACUUAACGGCCUAGGAAUCUUCACUUUACUUACUUUCUGGUCGAGUAAAGAGUUCAACUUCAGUUGACGCUACGGGUUCUGUUAUUCACCGUUAACAUUUCAAAGAACAUUUGGCCAAUUCGUAAAGCGGUUUGAAUGGAACGCUUGUACCGUACGGACGUGUGGAUGAAGACUUGAUGAUCAUAGAAGGGGAUUCGCGGGAUUAGGACCUUCAAGUAUAUCUUGCCGGAAAACAAACGAUCCUCUCUCCCGACGGUAAAAAAGCUUGAGCUAAUGUUUGAACGAACCUUGGUAGCGGUGGGGAGACUUGUUCUGUGGUUGUUAGCCAUGGUUGGACACGUACUUCGGACAUCACACAUCAGCCCUAAUAACGAACAGGAAACUCAUCAUGCAACCGCUGAAGCUCUAAAAUUUGCCUUUUCGCGAAAGACAGCACUGUGGUAAGAACAUUGCAGAGAUGAAAAAACUGCGAUUAUGAGAAAAUUAGAUCCUUUCAGCGCGGAUUCGGACUUACACCUCUUUACGUGGCGUAAGGAAACACGCUAUU